CUUCAGCGACCUCGUCUAUCUGCGACGCUGGUGCGGUUGCGUGUACGUGCUUCAUGCAUACAGGUGCCCUCUCCUCUUCCGCGCGCCCACCCCACCGCACACAAACACACACACACACACAGACAGGUGAGGGCUACGGCAUUGGUAAUCUUAUUUUUCUGUGUUUACCGCGUUCAAAUUUCAAGCAGGAUUAAUGUUCUUCUGGAUGGUGGUUGCCCUGCUGGUGGCCAUCGCUAUCGUGGUGACUCCAGCAGGGAAACUGGCCGCUGCCAAAUGCCAGCUGUACGCCCAUGGCGUUGUCUUCAUGGCCAAGGCAGAGGAUCUGCCAAAGGCAUACAGAGGCACCAAUUACAUACGCAUGAACACCGUCGGCGACGGCACUGGGGGCAAGCGAAUGAUUCGUGUCAUUUUCAUCCGCCACGGGCAGUCCGUGUGGAAUUCGCUCUUCAACUCGUGCAACCUCGGCUUGCCUGUGCGCGUGGCGAAGGCGGCAGCUCGCGAGUUUACUGAUUUCUUCACGAAUCCCUUUGGCUCAUGCAUUAUCGACUCCCCGCUGAGCAGCAAAGGCAAGAGAGAGGCGCAGGACCUCGCCAGCUUCAUGCGUACUGCCAAGACGAAGAUCUCCUUCGAUCCAAGGACUUCAGUGGUGGUUUCUAGCAAUCUGCGCCGCGCGAUGGAGACGGCGCUCAUCGGCGUGUCGCCGCGCCUGACGGUAACGCAGGAGCGAAUCGUGAUGGACUCGUCUCUACAGGAGGGCUCGCAGAACAUCGACGCCCAAAGCCUCUCGACCGAGCCUGGGAAGAUUGCGCCGUGUAAGCUCGGCACCAUCACCCAUCCUUUGGAGCUCGCUGUCGUCUUCGACCCCUAUCUGAACGCUGGAAACCGAGUGGCCGGCGUGGACGUUUACCAGCGCAUGGAUGAGUUCAUUAUGCACCUGUUUGGCGGCAGUGGUGAAGCCAAUCUUGUCCCGGCCGCUGGAGGCAGCAACGCUGCCCUGAAGGAGGUGAUCGUGGUGGGCCACAGCGGGUACUUCCGCAGCUUCUUCCGUCGCUUUCUCCCACCGCAUUCCACUCACAUCUCGAAAAAGAGCAAGAUGCAAAACUGCGCCGUAGUAGCGUUUGAACUGACACGUGACGAGUCCAGCGACGAGGUAGCCGUGGAGGAGUCGACGCUAAAGGUGUUGUACAAAGGAUUCGCGUGAAAAACGAAAAAGACGUUGUACUCUCCCUCUUUACGCCUACGCGGAGUUGGCAGAAAAGAUGCUCGGGGAGGAGGAACAGAGGUCACAACGGCGCGCUUUCGUUGCGUUACCGGCUUCUCUCGGCGGUGCGGGUGCCGAAGCUGCACACUGCCGGCUUAGCAUUCGUUCUCUCUUUUUCUUUUUGCCUAG
rnacentral:misc_RNA from 1 species